GCUGUCCCUGGGGAGGGAAGCCAGUGGUUAGUAGACAGGACUUCUGCCUAUCCCUUUAUAUGGCCACACAGUAACCAAGCAAUUACAAAAGACUGUUAAGCUGUCCAGCAGAUGGAAGAAGACGAAGCUGAGGCAGCUUCUCACCUUAACCGGCACCCUCUAAAAGUGAAAUUGGAAGCGUGAGAGAGGCUCAGCUAACCAAAGUUCUCCAAGAGCAGGGUUUAGGGCCCAAGCAGGUCAGCAAGUGAUCCAGGUUGGUGUUCCUGUAAGGAGAAAGUCGGGAUGAGUGAGGCCAGAGCCUGCAGGGCAGCCUGUCUGGCCAAGUAGCACUACGGAUACUCUGGCAGAGGGUUGGAGGCAGGCAUCUUGCAGGCCUGUGAUGCAAGACCAGGAAACAAAGGGAUUGGGACAUCAGUGGCCUCCGAGCUCACUAAAGCUACUUGUUCUCUGGAACUUGAUAGAACCAAUAUUGUUUUGGAGGAUUAUGCUUGUGAUCCCACCAUCCUUUGAAGUCAGGGUCUAGACUGCUAUGACCUUGUCUCAAAAGAACAACACAGAGCCAGUGAGAUGGCUCAGCAGAUAAAAGCAGCUUCAUUUGCAUGAGGACUGGAGUUUGAUCUGAGAUGCGGUGGUGAAAGGAGAGCCAAUUCAAAACUGUCCUCUGACUCCAUCUACAUGUGACUGCCACACAAGGACAUGACAGCUCACAGAUAAUAAAACUUAAAAGGAAAUCUAUCUACAUUAAGAUAAAGACUAUAAUAAAGAUGGCAUGUCAAAUUGA